rnacentral:rRNA from 1 species
UACGUAGGGCGCAAGCGUUGUCCGGAAUUAUUGGGCGUAAAGAGCUCGUAGGCGGUUUGUCGCGUCUGUCGUGAAAGCCCACGGCUUAACCGUGGGUCUGCGGUGGAUACGGGCAGACUAGAGGCAGGUAGGGGAGAAUGGAAUUCCCGGUGUAGCGGUGAAAUGCGCAGAUAUCGGGAGGAACACCGGUGGCGAAGGCGGUUCUCUGGGCCUGUACUGACGCUGAGGUGCGAAAGCGUGGGGAGCAAACAGG